rnacentral:lncRNA from 1 species
AUAAAGCAGACGGAUGGACCCAUCACGUUAUCACUCGUGAGUUUUUAAAGUCGAAGCCCGUAUUGGGAAUCGUUAACAAGCGUACCCUUUACAUUGCACGACUGACGACAUGCUCCUUUGUAAAUCGUUUCCGGUAAACCACGAAAUUCCCAUCCCAGAAACAGUCCACAGGUCAGUAGCAAGGAGAUGUGGUUCCCAGAAUAAUAUAAAGGUAAAGGUGCAGUGAUAGCCUUUUUCCAAGAAUUUGUAUCCAGCAGCACUACCAUGGUGCAAUGCUAAAGCUGAAGCUAAAGUCGUGUGAUCUUAUCUAUCAAGCUAUUAAGUGAUUAUGUAUUUUGCACUAUUGUCAUAUUUGUCGAAAGGCAUAAAACAGUUAAAACAGAUUAAGACGCCGCAUUUGCCAUUGUCUACAAGUCAAACUCGGUUUGACCCAGUCAGACUGUAAGUCUAUUAUUACGUACGUAUACCCGUUCACCCCUAAGGUUACAGUUCUUCGUUCGCCAUAAAAAUGGGAGGGAUGUGAGAAAUAUCGUUUCCAUCUGCUCUGAGCGGCAUCGGCGACACUCAUUAUUUCCAGCGACGGGAAGCGCCCCGUCAGUCGGCCCGGAGGCCAAGGCCGACCAACCGGCGGCGGCUCGCUCGGCUCCUAUCUCGCUGACCUCCACCGUUCGCCCACACCAAAAACACUCGGCGAGGGUUAGAUCGUGAAAAAUGGGUUGACGACACACCAAGGGCAAACGACUGUCGGAGAGGUAUAAAACGGGCGCCAGACGCAGCAGCGACACACUCACACAGUCCACACCACACUCAACAACAUCCACUCUCCAACACUCCACUCAACAUGCACAACCUGCCCGCCAUCAUGACGCUGACCAGGGAGCCGAUUGGCUCGGCUUGGCGGCAGCAGGCUGUUCUUUCGGCACUCUUCCGGCCUCUACAAUAUCGGCAUACUCGAGUGCGAUAGCAACUCGAGUGGGACUGAUUUUCGGUCUUCUUUCGACACUCUUCCGUAUUCUUCGAUAUCAGCCCGUGCUAAUGCAACGGCUAUUCGUGCAGGACUGAUUUUCGGCCUUGUCUCGUUUAAUGACUCGAUCGCUUCCUUUUGACAUUUUGGUUUCGACCUUAUCUUUUGGCUCAUUUCAAUAUAUCUACUUUUAACUCA